CCUACGGGGGGCAGCAGUGGGGAAUAUUGGACAAUAGGGGCAACCCUGAUCCAGCCAUGCCGCGUGUGUGAAGAAGGCCCUCGGGUUGUAAAGCACUUUCAGUGAGGAAGAACGCCUGGUGGUUAAUACCCAUCAGGAAAGACAUCACUCACAGAAGAAGCACCGGCUAACUCCGUGCCAGCAGCCGCGGUAAUACGGAGGGUGCGAGCGUUAAUCGGAAUUACUGGGCGUAAAGCGCGCGUAGGUGGCUUGAUAAGCCGGUUGUGAAAGCCCCGGGCUCAACCUGGGAACGGCAUCCGGAACUGUCAAGCUAGAGUGCAGGAGAGGAAGGUAGAAUUCCCGGUGUAGCGGUGAAAUGCGUAGAGAUCGGGAGGAAUACCAGUGGCGAAGGCGGCCUUCUGGACUGACACUGACACUGAGGUGCGAAAGCGUGGGUAGCAAACAGGAUUAGAUACCCGGGUAGUC
rnacentral:rRNA from 1 species